rnacentral:tRNA from 1 species
GCGGACGUGGUGGAACUGGUAGACACGCUAUCUUGAGGGGGUAGUGGGGCAACCCGUGUCGGUUCGAGUCCGACCGUCCGCACCA